rnacentral:rRNA from 1 species
UAGUCCCCGCCGUAAACGAUGGUCACUAGUUGUUGGGGCGUUUGCCUCAGUGAUUAAGCGAAAGUGAUAAGUGACCCACCUGGGGAGUACGAUCGCAAGAUUGAAACUCAAAGGAAUUGACGGGGGCCCGCACAAGCGGUGGAGCAUGUGGUUUAAUUCGAUGAUACGCGAGGAACCUUACCAGGGCUUAAAUGUAAGUUGCAUAGACCAGAGAUGGUCUUUUCUUCGGACUACUUACAAGGUGCUGCAUGGUUGUCGUCAGCUCGUGCCGUGAGGUGUCAGGUUAAGUCCUAUAACGAGCGCAACCCCUACCGUUAGUUGCCAGCAUGUUAUGAUGGGGACUCUAACGGGACUGCCAGUGCAAACUGUGAGGAAGGUGGGGAUGACGUCAAAUCAUCACGGCCCUUACGUCCUGGGGCUACACACGUGCUACAAUGGGUAUAUACAGAGGGGCAGCUACCUAGUGAUAGGAUGCGAAUC